AGGCGCUAAGCUGCGAGUCACAUAGCGGUAUGUGGCUUACGGCUCAGUAACACGUAGUCCACAUGCCCAGGGGACGUGCAUAACCUCGGGAAACUGAGGAUAAACCGCGAUAGGUCAUCACUUCUGGAAUGGGUAAUGACUUAAAUCUAUAUGGCCCCUGGAUUGGACUGCGGCCGAUCAGGCUGUUGGUGAGGUAAUGGCCCACCAAACCUGUAACCGGUACGGGCUCUGAGAGGAGGAGCCCGGAGAUGGGCACUGAGACAAGGGCCCAGGCCCUAUGGGGCGCAGCAGGCGCGAAACCUCUGCAAUAGGCGAAAGCCUGACAGGGUUACUCUGAGUGACUUUCGCUAACACAGUCUUUUGACACCUCUAAAAAUGGUGUAGAAUAAGGGGUGGGCAAGUCUGGUGUCAGCCGCCGCAGUAAUACCAGCACCCCGAGUGGUCGGGACGAUUAUUGGGCCUAAAGCAUCCGUAGCCGGUUUUACAAGUCCUCCGUUAAAUCCAGCUGCUUAACAGAUGGGCUGCGGAGGAUACUAUAAGACUAGGAGGCAGGAGAGGCAAGCGGUACUCACUGGGUAGGGGUAAAAUCCGUUGAUCCAUUGAAGACCACCACUGGCGAAGCGGCU
rnacentral:rRNA from 1 species